rnacentral:rRNA from 1 species
UUUGAUCAUGGCUCAGAUUGAACGCUGGCGGCAGGCCUAACACAUGCAAGUCGAGCGGAAACGACACUAACAAUUCUUCGGGUGCGUUAAUGGGCGUCGAGCGGCGGACGGGUGAGUAAUGCCUAGGAAAUUGCCUUGAUGUGGGGGAUAACCAUUGGAAACGAUGGCUAAUACCGCAUGAUGCCUACGGGCCAAAGAGGGGGACUUCGGGCCUCUCGCGUCAAGAUAUGCCUAGGUGGGAUUAGCUAGUUGGUGAGGUAAUGGCUCACCAAGGCGACGAUCCCUAGCUGGUCUGAGAGGAUGAUCAGCCACACUGGAACUGAGACACGGUCCAGACUCCUACGGGAGGCAGCAGUGGGGAAUAUUGCACAAUGGGCGCAAGCCUGAUGCAGCCAUGCCGCGUGUAUGAAGAAGGCCUUCGGGUUGUAAAGUACUUUCAGUUGUGAGGAAGGGGGUGUUGUUAAUAUCAACAUCUCUUGUACGUUAGCAACAGAAGAAGCACCGGCUAACUCCGUGCCAGCAGCCGCGGUAAUACGGAGGGUGUCGAGCGUUAAUCGGAAUUACUGGGCGUAAAGCGACAUGUCAGGUGGUUCAUUAAGUCAGAUGUGAAAGCCCGGGGCUCAACCUCGGAACUGCAUUUGAWACUGGUGAACUAGAGUGCUGUAGAGGGGGGUAGAAUUUCAGGUGUAGCGGUGAAAUGCGUAGAGAUCUGAAGG